AAGAAAGUAAAUAAGGGCGCAUGGCGGAUGCCUUGGCUCUCGGAGGCGAUGAAGGACGUGAUAAGCUGCGAUAAGCUUCGGGUAGGUGCAAAUAACCUUUGAUCCGAAGAUUUCCGAAUGGGACAACCCGGCAUUCUGAAGGAAUGUCAUCCAACCAAGUUGGAGGCUAACGCAGGGAACUGAAACAUCUUAGUACCUGCAGGAAAAGAAAAUAAAUAAUGAUUCCCCUAGUAGUGGCGAGCGAACGGGGAAUAGCCCAAACCACCCGUGUUACGGCAUGUGUGGGGUUGUAGGACCACGCUCUCGCAAGAAAGUUAUUGAGAAGAAGCGGCUGGAAAGCCGCGCCAUAGACGGUGAUAGCCCGGUAUUCCAAGGUAACUGAAGCGUAGUGGUAUCCUGAGUAGCGCGGAGCACGAGGAAUUCUGCGUGAACCAGCCGGGACCAUCCGGUAAGGCUAAAUACUCCCGAGAGACCGAUAGCGAACCAGUACUGUGAAGGAAAGGUGAAAAGCACUUCGAAUAGAAGAGUGAAAUAGUCCCUGAAACCAUGCGCCUACAAGCGGUCGGAGCAGC
rnacentral:rRNA from 1 species